CAGUCGCCGCGGUAAUACGUAGGUGGCAAGCGUUGUCCGGAAUUAUUGGGCGUAAAGGGCUCGCAGGCGGUUUCUUAAGUCUGAUGUGAAAGCCCCCGGCUCAACCGGGGAGGGUCAUUGGAAACUGGGAAACUUGAGUGCAGAAGAGGAGAGUGGAAUUCCACGUGUAGCGGUGAAAUGCGUAGGGAUGUGGAGGAACACCAGUGGCGAAGGCGGCUCUCUGGUCUGUAACUGACGCUGAGGAGCGAAAGCGUGGGGAGCGAGCAGGAUUAGAGACCCCAGUAGUCCCUGUCUCUUAUAC
rnacentral:rRNA from 1 species